rnacentral:lncRNA from 1 species
CCCUUUUGAAGCACAGCAAGAGGAGGCCGGCUGGGUGAGCCUGGCUGUCGGGAGAGAAACACGCAAGCCCAGCGCCGGCAGUUGCGCUUUCCCGGAGGCACCUUGGGCCAGGCGCUCGGGGCUCCCCGAGGCCCGCACUCUGCCGGCGAGCCCCGGGCCUCCCCGGGUGGGCACAGACUUUGUGCGCCCCGGCUGCACCGCGUCCCGCCGCCCAGCGCCACCCUCGCCGUUCGCUUGCUGAGCCUGCUGCUGCUCUGCCUUGGCCCUCCCGGCCCGCGCCCGCCGCGGCUUCCAGCUGCCCUGAGUGGAGACUGCUGAGCGAUGGCCGCCGCACGGAGCUGGCCCAGGUCAUCCUGACGAGGUACUGGCGCUGCACCAGUAGGGGCACGGCCUUCACAGCUACCUGCUCGGGCGGAAGGGGGCCAGCGACGCGGGCCUCUCCUGCGCCGCCGAGAUCCAGAUGCCCAGCGACCAGGCUUGGGCGUCAUGCUCCAGGUGCCCCGGGUUUCAGGCUCAACCUCAGCGGCCUGGGUUAUUUCUCUUGCCACUGCCACCGUGGUCCAGGAUUACUCCUAUCUCUUCUUCCUCAGGAUGGAUGAAAAUUAUAACCUCUUACCUCAUGGAGUUAAUUUCCAAGGUGCCAUCUUCUGAGACACUCAAGAGAACAGAAGGUUUUCUAGCUCGUUCCAGUUUUCAAAUCGUUCCCAAGGGCAGCAACUGGUGACUUUUUCCAGUGACUGGGAGAUCCAAGAA